rnacentral:sRNA from 1 species
AGGCUUUUGAAAUAGAAAACAUACGACAAUUCUUUGGAGCCUUUACGAAAUUAACAAUAGGAGAAACUGACAACUUUUAUACUUAUCGAGAGCCUGUUGAUCUUGUAUUCGCUAUUGACUUGUCCUACAAACUUGGAGAGGAGAAGUUUCAACUUAUUCAAAGCACGCUCCUGAAAUGUUUGAAGCUGCUCUUCAUGGGUCCAUCAGACACACAGGUUGGAGUCCUGGUCUCUACAUCUGCACCGUCUAUACCACUACAGUCAGAUUACGAAACAUUAUA